UACGAGAGGCCCAAACGUUAUUCGGAAUUACUGGGCUUAAAGAGUUCGUAGGCGGCAUGAAAAGUAGGGUGUGAAAGCCCUCGGCUCAACCGAGGAAUUGCGCUCUAAACUACUGUGCUUGAGGACCUAGAGGUGAGCGGAACUGAUGGUGGAGCGGUGAAAUGCGUUGAUAUCAUCAGGAACACCGGAGGCGAAGGCGGCUCACUGGGGGUUUCUGACGCUGAGGGACGGAAAGC
rnacentral:rRNA from 1 species